CCUACGGGUGGCAGCAGUGGGGAAUAUUGGUCAAUGGGGGCAACCCUGAUCCAGCCACGCCGCGUGAGUGAAGAAGUAUUUCGGUACGUAAAGCUCUAUCAGCAGGAAAGAAAAUGAAGGUACCUGACUAAGAAGCCCCGGCUAACUACGUGCCAGCAGCCGCGGUAAUACGUAGGGGGCAAGCGUUAGCCGGAUUUACUGGGUGUAAAGGGAGCGUAGACGGUCGCGCAAGUCGGUAGUGAAAUGCCGGGGCCCAACCCCGGAACUGCACGUGAAACUGUUAAGCUGGAGUGCAGGAGAGGUAAGCGGAAUUCCUGGUGUAGCGGUGAAAUGCGUAGAUAUCAGGAGGAACACCGGCGGCGAAGGCGGCUUACUGGACUGUAACUGACGUUGAGGCUCGAAGGCGUGGGGAGCAAACAGGAUUAGAUACCCGGGUAGUC
rnacentral:rRNA from 1 species